UACGGAGGGUGCAAGCGUUAAUCGGACUUACUGGGCGUAAAGCGUGCGCAGGCGGUUUGUUAAGUCCGCUGUGAAAUCCCCGAGCUCAACUUGGGAAUUGCAGUGGAUACUGGCAAGCUGGAGUAUGGUAGAGGAAGGUGGAAUUCCCGGUGUAGCAGUGAAAUGCGUAGAGAUCGGGAGGAACACCAGUGGCGAAGGCGGCCUUCUGGACCAAUACUGACGCUCAUGCACGAAAGCGUGGGUAGCAAACAGG
rnacentral:rRNA from 1 species